rnacentral:rRNA from 1 species
CAGUAGCCGCGGUAAUACGAAGGGUGCAAGCGUUAAUCGGAAUUACUGGGCGUAAAGCGUGCGUAGGCGGUGAGUUAAGUCUGCUGUGAAAUCCCCGGCCUCAACCUGGGAAUGGCAAUGGAUACUGGCAAGCUAGAGUGUGUCAGAGGAUGGUGGAAUUCCCGGUGUAGCGGUGAAAUGCGUAGAGAUCGGGAGGAACAUCAGUGGCGAAGGCGGCCAUCUGGGACAACACUGACGCUGAGGCACGAAAGCGUGGGGAGCAAACAGGAUUAGAGACCCGCGUAGUCCCUGUCUCUUAUAC